rfam:Medicago truncatula strain A17 chromosome 5, whole genome shotgun sequence.
AUAUAAGCAAAAUUGAGUUUUUAGGUUCAUUCAAUUAAUGAUGUAUGUGGUCCAUAAUAUGAACCACAUACAUCAUUAAUUGAAUGAACCUAAAAAGUCAUUUUUGCUUAUAU